rnacentral:rRNA from 1 species
AGUCGUAACAAGGUCUCCGUUGGUGAACCAGCGGAGGGAUCAUUACCGAGUUUACAACUCCCAAACCCCUGUGAACAUACCACUUGUUGCCUCGGCGGAUCAGCCCGCUCCCGGUAAAACGGGACGGCCCGCCAGAGGACCCCUAAACUCUGUUUCUAUAUGUAACUUCUGAGUAAAACCAUAAAUAAAUCAAAACUUUCAACAACGGAUCUCUUGGUUCUGGCAUCGAUGAAGAACGCAGCAAAAUGCGAUAAGUAAUGUGAAUUGCAGAAUUCAGUGAAUCAUCGAAUCUUUGAACGCACAUUGCGCCCGCCAGUAUUCUGGCGGGCAUGCCUGUUCGAGCGUCAUUUCAACCCUCAAGCACAGCUUGGUGUUGGGACUCGCGUUAAUUCGCGUUCCCCAAAUUGAUUGGCGGUCACGUCGAGCUUCCAUAGCGUAGUAGUAAAACCCUCGUUACUGGUAUCGUCGCGGCCACGCCGUUAAACCCCAACUUCUGAAUGUUGACCUCGGAUCAGGUAGGAAUACCCGCUGAACUUAAGCAUAUC